rnacentral:rRNA from 1 species
UACGUAGGGUGCAAGCGUUAAUCGGAAUUACUGGGCGUAAAGCGUGCGCAGGCGGUUUUGUAAGUCUGUUGUGAAAUCCCCGGGCUCAACCCUGGGAAUGGCAAUGGAGACUGCAAGGCUAGAGUUUGGCAGAGGGGGGUAGAAUUCCACGGUGUAGCAGUGAAAUGCGUAGAUAUGUGGAGGAACACCGAUGGCGAAGGCAGCCCCCUGGGUCAAAACUGACGCUCAUGCACGAAAGCGUGGGGAGCAAACAGG